GUGUAUGGGUAGUCGGUCUCGGUGACGAGUCCACCAUUUGUUUUGAUGUAUUCGAAUGCUGUUUCCAUUAAUCCACCGCUACAGCCUUUGUUCUGCCACUGCAGAGAAUGCCCAGCAACCUCCUGCACAAGAAAAAGAAAACGCAAUCAGGAGUCACAGCACCUUGUUUCCUCCAGUCCACAGCAGCUGGCACCUCACCUGCUGGGUCACAAACCGGCCUCUGUUUCCUGUGUAACCUCGAGGAAGACGUGUUCAAACCGAGAAAAUGGGCCUUAAACUCAGAAUUGGUCAUGUCCGCGAAUCUGUUAUCCGUUAACUUAAAGGGCAAGUGGAGGGAGUUGAUGUAGUCAAUCAACUGGACGUUAGACUGGGUUUUGUGUGGGUCAUACAUAGAGGAAUUGACGGAACAUAGUCUUGAAGCUAUCAAGACAAAGCAAAUCGAAACGAUCAAGGUCAGGUUUUGUGUUUUGUUGCAGUUCCAGUGGGACAAGUUUCCUUCUGUCUGAUUCUUAACAAUAUGCAGAUACAUAGCAUACUCGGUGUAAAACUGGUGCUGGUUUGGUUUCUCUGAAAAUCGUUGAUCCUUCCAUAAUAAACUUCUGUGUUGACAAAUCAUGAGCUAUGGAAAAACAUGUGACGAAGAGAUUUGAGGUUUCCAGAUGUGGUUCAAGACUUGCUUGCUGAAGACUCUUUGUGUUCUGGAAAACCAUUGCCGCCCCUGCAAAUGUUCAAUGAAUAUGCUUCGAUUCAAUCCUUCACAAAGAAAAGAAAAAUCAUGAAUGUGGAAAGAAGCCAUGGAUAUUGUUCAGCAAGAAAUGUAAAACGAGGAUGAUGCUUGGGGUUGUCAUGCCGAUCUUUAGAAUCUGUUUACUUCUCUGAGACAGUAUGGUCAUGUCAAUCCAUUGCAGAUGACCGAAACUUGAAUCGCAGACAAGUCUUUGAGAAGAAGAGCUUUCUGAUGUCAGAAGUGCCCAUGUACAAAAACUCCUGAAUCAUCAUUGCCUGAUAUUGAAACUAAACGGUCAAAUGAUUCUCAAGCAGUACCACAAAGGUUCAUUUACAGAGAGGACUGUCGCAAAAUGAAGAUAAUGGUCGUAAGGGGUGGUUCAGUGGGAUUAGAUGGUGACAUCUGCUUCAGGUUUGGCAUUGAUGCGAGAUGAUAAAAUCUUGACGAACAAGGCAGAGCAGAGAACAUGAAUACAAAGAAACUCACCGGUCAAGUGGCUGAGCAUAAUCCCCUGCUUCGGUUCUGGAUAGACGUUUCCGGUUUGGUUAAACCAAAAUCAUAUUGGACAAGCCAGAGGGAAUUUGUCUUUGAUUUUAAAAUUUGAUGUAACUAACAAAACAUGUUUUAAGCGUUGGUUUACCGUUGAAACUGAUGUUAACNCU